UGGUGGCUGAGAGAAAAGACAGAAAACGGCACUCGACAGGAGAACUUGGAGGGGAGAGAAGGUGUGAGAAGCUAGAGGAGAGAGAGAGAGAAGGGGACGCAUAAUGAGAGAAGAAGGAGAAGAGUCCCAUUCCAGCUGUGUUUCUCAAACAAACAGAGCCGUGAGAACUUCUUCACAUUGAAGAUUUUUUAGCUGCAUGCCAAAAGAACAAACAUUUACGUCUGACAUUUUUUGGCCGACUUUAUUUAUUUUGAAUCACGCUUUCAUUCAAACAAAACAUCUUGUUAGUAUCACAGGGACAGAAAUAGCACCCAGUUCCUAUCGGACAAGAAGUACUUUAGAGUUUAUUUUAGCUUGUUUUUAGGAGUUUUAAUCAUGAGUGCAGAAAACUCGACUCUUCUGGACAGCUUGUUCUUCCCACCUCUCUGUGAUGGCUGGACCAACAACACAGAAGGAGCCAUAUACCACUUGGGAAACACCAUGGUCUUCCUGGGUUACAUGGGGGGCAGUGGGGCCUAUGGGUGCCUCUUCAUCUUCGGCUUCCUGGUUCCAGCCUUCGUGUGCCUGUCGGUGUGGGGUUGGAUCACCAUGUGUGGCCUGGACGUCUACACCUGGAACCUGCUGCUGCUGCUGGUCUGCCUGGGUCAGAUCUGCCACCUCCUCUACCGGUUGCAACAGGAGGGCAUACCCAGUGAGGAGCUGUCUUCCCUCUACCAGGGAGUCUACCUGCCGCUGGGUGUGCCUGUCCAGGUGUUCAAGGACAUCGCAGGAGCUUUUGAGAACAGGGUGGUGGAACUGAAGGCGGGAGAGACGUACGCAGUGGAGGGAAAGACGCCCAUCGACCAGCUCUCCUUUCUGCUGUCUGGGAGGAUCAAUGUAUCUCUGGAGGGUCAGUUCCUGCACUACAUCCAUCGCCACCAGUUCCUGGACUCUCCAGAGUGGGAGUCUAUCAGACCAAACGAGGAGGGGAAGUUUCAGGUGACUCUCACAGCAGAAGAAGACUCUCGCUACAUCUCAUGGCGCCGCCGUCGUCUCUACAUGCUGAUAUCAAAAGAGCGCUACAUCGCCCGUCUUUUUUCGGUCAUGCUGGGUUACGACAUCGCGGAGAAGCUCUACAACCUCAACAACAAGCUGUACAUCAAGAGCGGUGUGCUGCUGGACAUCCGCCUGCCCAGUCUCUACCAUGUCUUGGCCCCCUCCUCGCAGGGCAGCGAGGGUGGCAGCGGAAGUGACGCGGGUUUUACCAAGGAGCAGCCGGGUGUUGAUCCAGCACCGGCCUAUGAGACGUUGGAUCAGCCUCAGGGACCAAGAAAGACCUCCCAGGACGAGAUCAAGGCCCCCCAGCACCCAUGGGUGUCAGACCCGGACCUGCCCUCUGGUGAGGACUCCACCAGCCUGGUCCUGGAGGACUUUGCUGAUGUGGCGGGGUCCUUAAUGGAUUAUGGCAGUGAGAGGGAUUAUUUGAGGUAGAGGGGGCAGGGUGCUGGAGCUAACACACGGGGUCACCACUUAAGCUACAUGAGGUGAUGGCGACAGAAAUGUUCCACCUCGAUUCCAGAGAGGAAGAGCGCCGCUGGCUCCCACCGACACCCCCAAACUGUGAGGAGGAUCUCUCCUGGAAACGCUUUAAUAUGAAGAAUAAAGCAGUAUAAAUGUGCCAUGUUAGCUGUUUUAAAACAGUCUCCUCCUCACUGUCUAUCUCUGUGUUCACUUCAGUUCACAUCUCUUAUCCUCAUUCAACCCCACAGUUUCUGCUUGUCUCUGUUUGAAAAAAGGUUUUAGUUUGGGGCUGAUAUUUUUCAUAAUAUUUUACUGGAAACUCCCUCAGUACUGAUGUUUCAUGCCUGAAACAUGUUUCUUUUACAGAUUGAAGGUUUUAAAUCAACAUUUCAACUCUUAUAGUCUCUUUAAGCAGCUCUUCCAGUAGAAAGAAUAACAUUUGUUUAUAUUUGAAAUAAUUUGACAACUAUGUGACUAAAUUAAAAGUUUAGAGUGUUUUGUGAAACUUUUGUCAAAUGAAAAUCCUCUAAUUUAAAGGACAUGCCAAUUUGCAUAGUUAACAUUUAAUCCACUUUCAAUUUGAGUGGAUCAUAAAAUACUGACUGCUCCCAUUCACCUUUUAAGUUGCCACCAUAUUUAUUUAAUUUCCUCUUAACUUGCCCUUUCAGAGACACCAAAACACGUGAUUUUUGUUUUAAUCUCCCUUUUUGAUAAACAAAUGAAGAUCUAAACUCUCUCUUAAUUCAAUGAAUUUUGAUGUUUUUCUUUUUCAUUACUCUAAAAGUUUUCAAAGCAAUAUGAAAAAUGUUUUUUCCUCCAUCUACCAGUUUCAUAAUAAUAAAGAAAUGAUCUUUUCACUUUAAUUUUAUUUGGCAUGUUUAGUUAUUUUUUUCACCUGAACUUCUUGAAUCAGUCAUAAAUGUACGCUGCAUGAUGCCUUCUUCAUCUGUAGGAAACUCUUCUUCUAAAAGAGAUAGGAUGCCUGUAGAUCAUGUCUUUGUUAUUUUUGUCAUUCACCUGUAAACUGUGAAAUGUUAUUUGUCUGUUGUUGACUUCUGUUGAAGAAGACGGGACUAAAAUGAAUGAAGUCAUUGUUGAUUGUUAAAUAUCUUCAUGGGGCCAAGAUUUCUCCAUAAAACUCUCUGUAUGCAGUGGAAAUGUAGUUUUUGUGUGAAUGUCUGCUUCCUUUAAUAUCUGUCACAUGAAUACAAACCAAACCAUCUUCUCUAUUUUGUUUCAGUUUUGC